rnacentral:rRNA from 1 species
CCUACGGGUGGCAGCAGUGGGGAAUAUUGGGCAAUGGGCGCAAGCCUGACCUAGCAACGCCGCGUGAAGGAAGAAGGCUUUCGGGUUGUAAACUUCUUUUCUCAGGGACGAAGCAAGUGACGGUACCUGAGGAAUAAGCCACGGCUAACUACGUGCCAGCAGCCGCGGUAAUACGAAGGUGGCAAGCGUUAUCCGGAUUUACUGGGUGUAAAGGGCGUGUAGGCGGGAAAGCAAGUCAGAUGUGAAAACCAUGGGCUCAACCUGUGGCCUGCAUUUGAAACUGUUUUUCUUGAGUACUGGAGAGGCAGACGGAAUUCCUAGUGUAGCGGUGAAAUGCGUAGAGAUUAGGAGGAACACCAGUGGCGAAGGCGGUCUGCUGGACAGCAACUGACGCUGAGGCGCGAAAGCGUGGGGAGCAAACAGGAUUAGAUACCCCUGUAGUC